rnacentral:rRNA from 1 species
UUAAAUUGAAGAGUUUGAUCAUGGCUCAGAUUGAACGCUGGCGGCAGGCCUAACACAUGCAAGUCGAACGGUAACAGAAAGCAGCUUGCUGCUUUGCUGACGAGUGGCGGACGGGUGAGUAAUGUCUGGGAAACUGCCUGAUGGAGGGGGAUAACUACUGGAAACGGUAGCUAAUACCGCAUAAUGUCGCAAGACCAAAGAGGGGGACCUUCGG